GGGCCGAUGGUCUAGCGGUAUGAUUCUCGCUUAGGGUAACACCCUUAGCAUGUUAUCUGAUCCACAUCAAAUAACUAAAUUGCGAGAGGUCCCGGGUUCAAUUCCCGGUUGGCCCC
rnacentral:tRNA from 1 species